GAGAUCCCAGUUCACUGUAUUCUCAGUAUGCUGUCUUCUGGCACUCUGGCUUACACCAAGGGUCAAUUGGGGGUAGCUGGAGCAACGGGUGGACUGAACAGUCUUUAGCACACACAAAUACAGACACUUGUGCCUCCCUGUGAGAUAGGAAACGGAUGACAGAGUGCGAGAUUAUAUCCCUUGACAAGAACUUGGAGAAAGAGAUUUCACGUUGUCACUUACGGCUCGACCCAAAUCCCGGAACAGAACUGAGAUAAGUAUCUUAAUCUUGCUCCCACAAUGCUCAAAGGUGUGUGGUCUUAGGGAAAUUUUGAUGGGGGAAGGGAACACUGCAUGCCAGGCAUUUCUGGUUUGAUAGAUAAAAUGCAAGUGGUAUUAUUUACAUCAUUCAGUUAUUCUGAAGCCUAAUAAGGUAGUGGAAGCAAAUAUAUAUAACAAUAACUGCUGCACACCAAGGUGUUGAUUGAUAAACAUUUGUUGGAUCCAUGUCUAAACCACAACCACCCCAACCUUACAAGCCCAGAAUUGGGGCACCCCAGCUAUGCAUAGGGAGCUAGGCAACUUACAACUGCUAAUUCUUAUUAAGUGCAGCAUUUCACUGGCCAGCAUUGGGUAACUCACUGUAUCAACAAGGGGCACUGUCAUGGGAAGUCUUCAUAAGAAAGCACAGCUGCCAACAUGACACUGACCAGUACAAUGUAAACUUCUCUCUUUUCAGGUUUCUUUGAGAACAGCUCCUGAGUUAUAGUUAAGGAAGGUGUCAGUGGGAGAUGAACGGAGAGGAGUAAUGGUUGGAGUUAUCAGUGACGUCCUAUCAUCAGGGCAGUUUGACCACCCAAGUGACACCUGUAUCCCUCCCAACAGCAAAAAGGAGAAAAGUAUGCAAGUCAUUUUCCCUUGAAAGCAAAGCCAUGGUUACCCAGCCAAUGAUCACAUCUGAGUGCAAGCUUUGUGAGUUUACUGAGCCAGGAGCUUCUCGAUGGAGGCUAUCGGUGAAAAUAUGGCUGGAAAUGCUGUUUGUGAGCUAACACAUAACUGAUUCUCCCAGAGACUCGAAAUGUGCACCUCCGUGCAGCAAGGCAGUC
rnacentral:lncRNA from 1 species